AACGAACGCUGGCGGCAUGCCUAACACAUGCAAGUCGAACGAGACCUUCAGGUCUAGUGGCGCACGGGUGCGUAACGCGUGGGAAUCUGCCCUUGGGUUCGGGAUAACAGUUGGAAACGACUGCUAAUACCGAAUGAUGACUUCGGUCCAAAGAUUUAUCGCCCAGGGAUGAGCCCGCGUCGGAUUAGCUUGUUGGUGAGGUAAGAGCUCACCAAGGCGACGAUCCGUAGCUGGUCUGAGAGGAUGAUCAGCCACACUGGGACUGAGACACGGCCCAGACUCCUACGGGAGGCAGCAGUGGGGAAUAUUGGACAAUGGGCGAAAGCCUGAUCCAGCAAUGCCGCGUGAGUGAUGAAGGCCUUAGGGUUGUAAAGCUCUUUUACC
rnacentral:rRNA from 1 species